rnacentral:tRNA from 1 species
GGGACUGUAGCUCAGUGGUAGAGCACCCACCUUACAUGUGUGAGGCCCUGGGUUUGAUCCUCAGCACCA